rnacentral:rRNA from 1 species
AAUAUUGGACAAUGGGCGAAAGCCUGAACCAGCAAUGCCGCGUGAGUGAUGAAGGCCUUAGGGUUGUAAAGCCCUUUUACCCGGGAUGAUAAUGACAGUACCGGGAGAAUAAGCUCCGGCUAACUCCGUGGCAGCAGCCGCGGUAAUACGGAGGGAGCUAGCGUGGUUCGGAAUUACUGGGCGUAAAGCGGACGUAGGCUGCUUUGUAAGUUAGAGGUGGAAGCACGGGGCUCAACCCCAGAAUUGCCUUUAAGACUGCAUCGCUUGAAUCCAGGAGAGGUGAGUGGAAUUCCGAGUGUAGAGGUGAAAUUCGUAGAUAUUCGGAAGAACACCAGUGGCGAAGGCGGCUCACUGGACUGGUAUUGACGCUGAGGUGCGAAAGCGUGGGGAGCAAACAGG